rfam:Cryptosporidium ubiquitum isolate 39726 contig_1, whole genome shotgun sequence.
GGUGUGGUGACCGAGUGGUUAAGGUGGUGGCCUGCUAAGCCAUUGUGCUCUGCACGCGCGUGUUCGAAUCACGCCCACAUCG